CGGGACCGAAGCACACGGCCAGGUUCUGCGGGGUCAUGCGAUUGUGGGCGUGGAAGGAGGAGACGAGGCGCAGGUGGUCCAGGAGAAGCGUCAGCGUGGCCUGAGAGAAGAAGGUCAGUAGUCAGGAUGACCAGACUUCACUCAUGGCCACCCAGGACUCCGAAGGUGAACAGGACAGAUGCUGCAUCACCUUUCCUGACCCAGCCUUGGGUGUCAUGUUGUGUCACUUCUGGAGCCAGAUUCAUAGACCCCACUCCUCUCAGUGGGCAAUGUGUCAAGUGCCCAGGGUCUUCUUAAAAAGCUGAAGUCAGAUUCCAGCACGCCCCACCCCUGCUGUACAGUCUUUCCAUGACUGCUCAUCCCACCUAGAAUAAAACCCAGAUUCCCAGUAAGAGUUCUAGCCUCAUUUCCUUUGUUGUCUCCAUUGCUCACCAUGACCUUCUCUCUGGUCCUCCUUUACAUCAAACUGUCCCAAUCCCUUUGCACAAGUAGUUCCCUCUGUGUGGGAAGACUUGGUUCCUCUGAAUUUGCCUCUUUCUCUUCUUUAGUUCUAAAAGCACCUCCUUAGGAGGCCCUCCUUCAACACCCACCACUGUCCACUCACUAUUACCUCAUUGUAUUUCAUUUCUCUGAACACUGUCGCAGCCUGAGCUUAAUAGCUGCAAUGCUUUGUUCUAGUUCAUCUCCUUAAUUGUCUAACCUGGGACUCCACCAGAGGCUUGCCUGUUUUGUUCACUGCUGAAUGUCCAGGUGGGAGAUCAGGUGCCAGAUACCAGAGGCCUGGAUAGGAGGGGGUGGUGGCCAAGAGGUUUGCACAAGAGGAGGUCGUGAGUGUUUGCUUAUCAUGUGUCUCAGAGUGGAUGUCUGUGUUUGUCCUACUUGGAGUUUGUUGAGCUUCUUGGAUGUGUAGAUUCAUAUCUUUCAUCAACUCUGGGAGGUUUUUUUUUUUUUUUUUGGUGCAAUUAUUUCUUCAACUUUUUUUUUUUUUUUUUUAUCCUUUUCUCUCCUUCUGGGACUCCCGUUAUGUGUAUGUUAGUAUGCUUGUUAGUGUCCUACACGUCUCUCAGGUUAUGUUCAUUUGUCUUGGAUGUGUGUGUUUGGGAGGAAUCAGGCUGAAGAGCAGUAGGAUUCACCCCAGAUGUGUUUGAGGUAGCUGCAGACAGUGGGGAGAGAGGUCAGGGUCAACACAACACCUGUUCACAAGUCCAAGGCAGGGGGUACAGGAAGAGGGCCCCAUCAGGGAGGGUACCCCAGAGCCUCCAAGAAGCUGGAGGCUGAUGUGGGGAUGAGAUCAGCCCUUAGAAUCACCCAUCAAAUGAUUAAAAAACAUUCAACCACUGGGGUGCCUGGGUGGCUCAGUCGGUUAAGCAUGUGAAUCUUGAUUUUGGCUC